AAGUUGUGUACUUUUUACUUUUAAAAUAAAGAAUAGUUUAAAUAAUAGUAUAUAUAUCCAUUUUGGUAAAGUAAGGUGUCGUUUGUAUGGGUUUUACAGUGAUUUAUAAAAAUAAGAUCAUGGGAAGACUAUUGAGUGGGUGGAAAUUACUGAUUAUGUUUACUGCAUUUUAAAGAAAGUUCUUUUGGUUACGUAAAAGUGGAUGGUUUUGAUUUAGAAAUUAGUUCGUUGUGGAGUUAUUUUUAUAUGGCGAAUUUGUUGGAGUGGUAGAGGUUGUCGUUUAGAUCUAAGCCAGGGGAAAAAGAUGAAGGCAUAGUUGAUGUUUUUUCUUGUCAAAUUUGUUGGGUGUUGAGUUGUUGAAGAGGUUUGAUUUUGUUAAUUUCAGUUGUAUUUUCUUUUAAUCUUAUAAUUUGCGAAAUUUUUUAUUUUUUAUUUUAAGAUUAUGAAUUUCGUUUGGAAGUUUAGUUAAAUAUGCUUUCUAUUUGGUUAACUUAUUAAUUAUCUGUUAUGGUUAUUUCGUAUUUUUUGUGGAUAUAAUUUAUUUGAGGUUAUGUAUGUCUUGCAGUUUUCUAAGGCCAGAAUAUCAUGUUGAUAGAAAGGUUUUAUGUACAUUUUUUUUUUUAUGAUUCUCUAAUGUAUAUAAUUGAUGAAAUGUGUUUGUAUUAUUAAUUUGGUCAUUAUUAAAUUUUUUGUAGAUCGUUGAUGCGUAUUCUUGUUUGUUAUCAUUUGUUACCAUGGAAAAUUUAAAGUUGCGGAGAUUUGGUUGAACUUUGUUUCUCCCUAGUUUCUAUCCUGGUCAGUGUUUGCCGAAAUCUUUAUUUGGUCAUUUUGGUAAGAGGUCUGAAAGCGAAGAAGAUAGUUCAUGGAAAGAGUUGAUUUUACGGAUUGAAUGGGUAGCUGUCCCGGUAAUUUACUUGGUGAAUAAUCACUGGAUAUUAGUUGUAAUUGAUUUGAAGAAAAAAUUUGCGACUAUAUGGGACUUGUUUGAAGUUCUUUCAGUACAUAUGCAGAAGCAGAAAUUAUUGAUUGUCGUGGUAAUGUUUCUAAAAACGAAAAUAAUUGUAGUUGAUUAUGUUGCUAAUUAUGUUUUUCAUCUGUUUAAUUUAUUGACUAAUUUUUUUUAAUUAGUGAUCAAAUUUUUUUGUUUAAAUUAAAUACAUUGAUUAGUUAGGAUGGUUGGAUGAUUUGUUUUCAAUGGAAAUUGCGCUUAAUUUUUGUCCUGGAUGGAAGUUUUCCAAAUUGCCGAUAAUUCCUGGACCUUGUUUACCCCAUCAGAGGAGAUACUAUGGCUGUGGUGUUUGCAUUAUAAAGUACAUGAAAUGUAUUGCUGAAGAAAAUAGUUUGUGUGGGAAGGCUGAUCCACAUGAGGAACGACUUGCGAUUGCAUUAGAGUUGUUGGUUGGACAUAAUAAUCUCCGAAUAUGUACUGUGAUUUAAAAUGCAAAAUGUCACUAUGAGAAUGUAUUAGGAAAAGAAUCUUCUAGUGUGUGUGAAAUGGAGUGGUGCCGAUCUCCGGAAAAAUUGCUAGGUUCUUUAAAAUUUUCAAGUAAAAAAAGGCGUCAAAAAUAUUGGCUUAGGGUAAAUAAGUAUAAGAAACAAAGAAGAAUUAUUAGGAAAAGUUUACAGUCUUCAGACAUAUAGAUAAUAUGUUUGAGGUAGUAUUUUAGUGUUGAAUUUUACUUAAGUUUUCUUUUUUAUUUUGUAAUCAUCUAUGUUAACAACAAAGAUAGGGAGAAGUUGCGAGGGUACAUUUGAA